rnacentral:rRNA from 1 species
GACGAACGCUGGCGGCGUGCUUAACACAUGCAAGUCGAACGGAAAGACCCGGCUCUUGCGGGGUUCUCGAUUGGCGAACGGGUGAGUAACACGUGAGUAUCCUGUCCUUGACUUUGUGAGAACUUCAGGGAACUGGGGCUCAUACCGGAUAUGAUCUCCUGCUGCGUGUGGGGGGUUGGAAAGAUUCGGCGGUUGGGGAUGGUCUCGCGGCUUAUGAGCUGCUUGGUGUGGUAGGGGUUUACCAAGGCUUUGACGGGUAGCCGGCAUGAGAGGGUGACCGGCGACAAGAGGACUGAGGUACGGACCAGUAUGCAACGGGAGGCAGCAGUGGGGAAUAUUGCACAAUGGGCGGAAGCCUGAUGCAGCAACGCUGCGUGCGGGAUGCCGGCCUUCGGGUUGUAAACCGCUUUCGCAUGUGACGAAGAGUGAGUGACGGUAAUGGGUCAAGAAGCACCGGCUAACUACGUG